GAAUACCCGCUGAACUUAAGCAUAUCAAA
rnacentral:rRNA from 1 species